ensembl:processed_transcript 4930447N08Rik RIKEN cDNA 4930447N08 gene
CGCUCCUGCCUGUCUCCCAGGUGACGCCUACAUCUCCUUCAAACAGAGGCCCCCUCAGCCUCGCAGCUCAGACCCAGGGCAGGCGCUUCUCCUUGUGUUCACAGUGACACUGGUUUUCAGCAGAAGCUCCACGUGGAAUCAGAUGACACAGGAGAAAUGGAAGAGACUGCAAAUCCUGACAUCCCACCCCCUGGCCACACACCACCUCAAGAAAACCAGAACACGGCGACAUAAUUGACUCCAGGCAACAAGUGCAACUAUUUCUGAGUACAUCUGUGAAGGUGUCUCGAGAAGAAAUAGCACCUGAAUCAACAGACUCGUGAAGAAGAGUGUUGAUCCACCAAUGAGAGUGGGCAUUGUCCAAGCCACUCAGGAUCUAGGUAGACCAGAUAGCCAGGGGCAGAGGCUAUUCGCCCCCUCUCCUGGAGCUCUCACCUCUAUACAUCAGAACUCUAGGACUUAAGGCAUUUGGAUUUGAUUUUACUCAGCAGCCCCUA